rnacentral:rRNA from 1 species
AGAUUGAACGCUGGCGGCAUGCCUAACACAUGCAAGUCGAACGGGAGUAGCAAUACUCUAGUGGCGGAUGGGUGAGGAAUACGUAGGAAUUUGCCCUUAAGUGGGGGAUAACCCGGGGAAACCCGGAUUAAUACCGCAUGACCUCGAAAGAGCAAAGUGGGGGAUCGCAAGACCUCACGCUUUUGGAGAAGCCUACGUCGGAUUAGCUAGUUGGUGAGGUAAUGGCUCACCAAGGCGACGAUCCGUAACUGGUCUGAGAGGAUGAUCAGUCACACCGGAACUGAGACACGGUCCGGACUCCUACGGGAGGCAGCAGUGGGGAAUAUUGGACAAUGGGCGCAAGCCUGAUCCAGCAAUGCCGCGUGUGUGAAGAAGGCCUUCGGGUUGUAAGCACUUUAAGUUAGGAAGAAAAACUACGACUCUAACAACAGUAGAGUCGUUGACGGUACCGACAGAAUAAGACACGGACUAACUCUGUGCCAGCAGCCGC